UACGGGGGGGGCAAGCGUUGUUCGGAAUUACUGGGCGUAAAGGGCUCGUAGGCGGCCAACUAAGUCGGACGUGAAAUCCCCAGGCUCAACCUGGGAACUGCGUCCGAUACUGGAUGGCUUGAGUUUGGGAGAGGGAUGCGGAAUUCCAGGUGUAGCGGUGAAAUGCGUAGAUAUCUGGAGGAACACCGGUGGCGAAGGCGGCAUCCUGGACCAACACUGACACUGAUGAGCGAAAGCCAGGGGAGCAAACGGG
rnacentral:rRNA from 1 species